GACGAACGCUGGCGGCGUGCUUAACACAUGCAAGUCGAACGAUGAAGCCGGAGCUUGCUCUGGUGAAUUAGUGGCGAACGGGUGAGUAACACGUGAGUAACCUGCCCUUGACUCUGGGAUAACUGCUAGACAUGGUAGCUAAUACCGGAUAUGACCUCCUUGGGCAUCCUUGGAGGUGGAAAGUUUCUCGGUGAGGGAUGGGCCCGCGGCCUAUCAGCUUGUUGGUGAGGUAGGGGCGCACAAAGGCGACGACGGGUAGCCGGCCUGAGAGGGCGACCGGCCAGACUGGGACUGAGACACGGCCCAGACUCCUACGGGAGGCAGCAGUGGGGAAUAUUGCGCAAUGGGCGAAAGCCUGACGCAGCAACGCCGCGUGCGGGAUGACGGCCUUCGGGUUGUAAACCGCUUUCAGCAGGGAAGAAGCCGCAAGGUGACGGUACCUGCAGAAGAAGCACCGGCUAACUACGUGCCAGCAGCCGCCGUAA
rnacentral:rRNA from 1 species